CACGAACCCAGGGGGUGGUGGCGGAAUCUGAUUCCAACGCCUGAGAUGCACUAGCGAACCCCUAGAACCUGAUCCGGUUAGUACCGGCGUAGGAAUGGGGAGUAAGCUUGCU
rnacentral:ncRNA from 2 species